rnacentral:rRNA from 1 species
GACGAACGCUGGCGGCGUGCUUAACACAUGCAAGUCGAACGCUGAAGCUCAGCUUUUGUUGGGUGGAUGAGUGGCGAACGGGUGAGUAACACGUGAGUAACCUGCCCCCUUCUUUGGGAUAACGCCCGGAAACGGGUGCUAAUACUGGAUAUUCACUGGUCUUCGCAUGGGGGUUGGUGGAAAGGGUUUUUCUGGUGGGGGAUGGGCUCGCGGCCUAUCAGCUUGUUGGUGGGGUGAUGGCCUACCAAGGCUUUGACGGGUAGCCGGCCUGAGAGGGUGACCGGUCACAUUGGGACUGAGAUACGGCCCAGACUCCUACGGGGGGCAGCAGUGGGGAAUAUUGCACAAUGGGCGCAAGCCUGAUGCAGCGACGCCGCGUGAGGGAUGGAGGCCUCCGGGUUGUGAACCUCUUUCGCUCAUGGUCAAGCCGCAACAAUGGUUGUGGUGAGGGUAGUGGGUAAAGAAGCGCCGGCUAACUACGUG